GACGAACGCUGGCGGCGUGCUUAACGCAUGCAAGUCGAACGGAAAGGCCUGCUUUCCCUUGUGGAUUGCGGGUACUCGAGUGGCGAACGGGUGAGUAACACGUGAGUGAUCUGCCCCCAACUUGGGUAUAAGCCUGGGAAACUGGGUCUAAUUCCCGAUAGGACUGCAGGGUGGUGCCUGUGGUGGAAAACGAUUUUCUAGUGGUUGGGGAUGAGCUCGCGGCCUAUCAGCUUGUUGGUGGGGUAAUGGCCUACCAAGGCGGCGACGGGUAGCCGGCCUGAGAGGGUGGACGGCCACAUUGGGACUGAGAUACGGCCCAGACGCCUACGGGAGGCAGCAGUGGGGAAUAUUGCACAAUGGGCGGAAGCCUGAUGCAGCGACGCCGCGUGGGGGAUGACGGCCUUCGGGUUGUAAACUCCUUUCGACCGCGAGGAAGCCACCUGGUUGGAAGGGUGGUGACGGUAGUGGUAGAAGAAGCACCGGCUAACUACGUG
rnacentral:rRNA from 1 species